rnacentral:misc_RNA from 1 species
GAUGAAGAACGUAGCGAAAUGCGAUAAAUAAUGUGAAUUGCAGAAUUCAGUGAAUCAUCGAGUCUUUGAACGCACAUUGCGCCCCCUGGUAUUCCGGGGGGCAUGCCUGUCCGAGCGUCAUUGCUGCCCUCAAGCACGGCUUGUGUGUUGGGCCCCCGUCCCCCCCUCCCGGGGGACGGGCCCGAAAGGCAGCGGCGGCACCGCGUCCGGUCCUCGAGCGUAUGGGGCUUUGUCACCCGCUCUGUAGGCCCGGCCGGCGCCUGCCGACCACCAUCAAGCUUUUUUCAGGUUGACCUCGGAUCAGGUAGGGAUACCCGCUGAACUUAAGCAUAUCAAUAAGCGGAGGA